rnacentral:rRNA from 1 species
CCUAAGACAUGCAAGUCGAACGGGAUGGCCACUGAGACUGAUUGAUAGUUGAGUGCUUGCACAAGAACAGGAUUCUUUGAUGUGGAUUUCCAUCCAGUGGCAAACGGGUGAGUAACACGUGGGUUACCUGCCUCCAAGUUGGGGAUAACAGUUGGAAACGACUGAUAAUACCGAAUGUGCUCUACGGAGUAAAGAUGCCUUUAAAGCAUCGCUUAGAGAUGGGCCUGCGGCGUAUUAGCUAGUUGGUGGGGUAAUGGCCUACCAAGGCGACGAUGCGUAGCCGAACUGAGAGGUUAAUCGGCCACACUGGGACUGAGACACGGCCCAGACUCCUACGGGAGACAGCAGUUAGGAAUAUUCGUCAAUGGGGGAAACCCUGAACGAGCAAUGCCGCGUGAGUGAUGACGGCCCUCUGGGUUGUAAAACUCUGUUGUUUGGAAAGAAUUGUAAGAAUAGGAAAUGAUUCUUGCUUGACGGUACCAUUCAAGAAAGCCACGGCUAACUACGUGCCAGCAGCUGC